rnacentral:rRNA from 1 species
CUGACUGCUAUCGGAUUGAUACUAAGCCAUGCGAGUCUUUGUAGUAAUACAAGGCAGACGGCUCAGUAACACGUAGUCAACCUACCCUAUGGACAAGAAUAAUCUCGGGAAACUGGGCAUAAUUCUUGAUAGAUCAUAAUGCCUGGAAUGGUUUAUGGUUAAAAUGAUUCGUCGCCAUAGGAUGGGACUGCGGCCUAUCAGCUUGUUGGUGAGGUAAUGGCCCACCAAGGCGAUUACAGGUACGGGCUCUGAGAGGAGAAGCCCGGAGAUGGGUACUGAGACACGGACCCAGGCCCUAUGGGGCGCAGCAGGCGAGAGAACUUUGCAAUGUGCGAAAGCACGACAAGGUUAAUCCGAGUGAUUUCUGCUAAAGAAAUCUUUUGCCAGUCAUAAAACCACUGGUGAAUAAGGGGUGGGCAAGUUCUGGUGUCAGCCGCCGCGGUAAAACCAGCACCUCAAGUGGUCAGGAUGAUUAUUGGGCCUAAAGCAUCCGUAGCCGGCUUUGUAAGUUUUCGGUUAAAUCCAUGUGCUCAACGCAUGGGCUGCCGAAAAUACUGCAUGGCUAGGGAGUGGGAGAGGUAGACGGUACUCAGUAGGAAGGGGUAAAAUCCUUUGAUCUAUUGAUGACCACCUGUGGCGAAGGCGGUCUACCAGAACACGUUCGACGGUGAGGGAUGAAAGCUGGGGGAGCAAACCGGAUUAGAUACCCGGGUAGUCCCAGCUGUAAACGAUGCAGACUCGAUGAUGCAUUGGCAUAAUAGCCAGUGCAGUGUCGCAGGGAAGCCGUUAAGUCUGCCGCCUGGGAAGUACGUACGCAAGUAUGAAACUUAAAGGAAUUGGCGGGGGAGCACCACAAGGGGUGAAGCCUGCGGUUCAAU